rnacentral:lncRNA from 10 species
UUGAGGUUCUCCGCCAAGGUUCUGCUUCAUCAGGCCUCUGCCGAGUUCUCUGGCCUCACCUGUCCACCGCUGCUCCGUGCAGCCACCUUUCCCCUGCUCCCCAAGGUGCGUCCAUUUCUGAGUUUCCCUCCUCUGGACCUGUGACCAUGCCAUCCCUCCUGCCUGGACUGCCUCCCAGUCUCUCAGUAGUACCACCUCCAGGUUCAGCUUGUGGUUCCGGCUGGUGGGUGUGCCACAGCCAGACGCUGUGCUCAGCGGGGAUACCCUAACCCUGGGUGAUCUGGGGUCACUCCCGUCAACCUGGGGGGCUCUGCAGGCAGGGAAGAGCCUCCUGGGUCUCUGCUCCAGCCCUGGCUUUACACAAAUGUGCCUGAGAAAACACGGUGUCCUGACACCUGGCCUCAUGCCACCUGGUGACGGCAUCUGAGCCAUCACCAGUGAUCAUUCACCCCUUUUCCCUUUUCCAGACAGCACGAAAAUCCAACACGCCCCUCACCGGAGGACUGGGAGGCUCCCGCGUUUUGGAUUCUGAAAAGCACUCCCUCGUUCACGUCUGCCUGGAUUCGCGCCCUCAAGCCCCCUGGCGCCCACUUUUCUUGCUCUCCAAACACUCGUUGAGGCCCGAGAGGGAGAUGCGAAGUUUGCCCACCACUGCGCGUCCCUCCUCCGCGAGGCGCCAAUGGGCCUGAGUCAGGGGCCUCCCCUUCAUCCGCUGGUCCCUCCCCUGUUCCCAGCUCCAGUUCCUCACCCGCUAUGGCUGGCCUGGCGCCUGUGGCCGUUCACCGUCUGCGAGGCAUCUGCGGGGACUGAAGUCGGGGAGGCAGCGGCGGGCUCUGGCAGAUACCAGGAGAUCCCGCCCCUCGGCCCGGGAGACCCCGCCCCUCGGCCACGCCCCUUUCCGCUCCCCACCCCGCCCUCUUGGGCCCCCCACCCGGCCCAGCCAGACAGAGACCUGCCUCCAGGUGGGUGGGAGGAGACCUUCAGUCCCUCGCCCCGGGCCUGUUGUCACUACCUCCCCCAAACACAUUGGUUAAAGUCACCCGAUUAGAAGGGGCCACCUGUGAGACUUGGAUCCAAAGCAAACUAGCGGAAGCUGAAGGGUCUUGGGGCUUCCCAGGCCUCUCGGAGGCCGGGAUGGUCGUGGAGGAGGGAGCGCUCAGUGCCUGGCCUACUGCCUGCCCUGAGCCGGCUCCCUACAGGACGCUUCUCCUGUACCUUCCACCUGCUGCGAGGAAGGGCUGGGGGCAGGCGUACCCAUUUUCCAGAGGAGAACUGAAGGCUCUCACCCCGGGUUAGGCCAGUGGCCGGAGGCAGAGCCGGGCCUUGAACCUGGCUUUCUGGAUCUUCAUCCAGGCCAUUCUAAAGGUACUGCAGGGAUGGCAGAGAGGGCCUGUCUGGGGGAAGGGAAUAGGGGGAUCACAGUUUCCAGGAGUCACUCCUGAAGAUGGUCAAGUACCAUGGAGGGGCAGGGCAUCCAUGGACCCUGAUUUGAGGCCCCGGAGCAGUUGGGACUGGUUUGGGCCACGGCUGGCCUAAUCUCCCCUCCACAGAGCCUGGGCAUUGUCCAGUUGGCAGCCAAGAGCCAUCUAUCCACUUUACAGCGGGCAGCUUUGACAGGCUGCUUGUUUCCAAGGACAAAGCCUGCAGGCUGUGGAAUGUUGAGAAUCACCUCUUUCUCUCAGGGACAUAAAGCAUGGCUGUGAGAGAGAUUUGUUUCUAGGAUGCUUUCCCUGACCUCCACUUAAAUUGGCUCAGGAGUUCCCUGAUCUCCACAAAUGUCAGGAACUUGUCCACCCGCCUGCCCCCAGCACCCAGGUUACACCUGACAAAGUAAGCGCUUUGGAAUGCUCCAACAGACCUAGUCAUACCAUACCCGGACAGAUGCCUUGCGUGUGUGUUUGAGGGUGGUGGUGCUGGGGACAGUGGGAAGGGACUCUGCCUCAUGGACCCCCAAGGCCAGACACCUGCACUGCUGCUUGUGGCCACUGGAGGGCGAAACAACUAUUUAGUGCCUACCUGCGGCAGGCCCCUCCUCAGCCUGGGAGAUGAUCUGUGACAUGCCUGGCCUGGAGCCUGGCACACAGCAGGUGCUCAGUAAAUACAUAUUUGGCCGGGCGCGAUGACUCACGUCUGUAACCCCAUCACUUUGGGAGGCCGAGGUGGAUGGAUCACCUGAGGUCACGUGUUUGAGACCAUCCUGGCCAACAUGGCGGAACCCUGUCUCUACUAAAAAUACAAAAAUUAGCUGGUUGUGGUGGCGCGUGCCUGUAAUCCCAGCUGCUGGGGAGGCUGAGGCAGGAGAACCUGGGAGGCGGAGGUUGCAGUGAGCCAAGAUCAUGCCAUCACACUCCAGCCUGGGUGACAGAACAAGGCUCAGUCUCAAAAUGAAUACAUACAUACAUACCUAUUUGUAUUAGGAGGAGAAAACCAAGAACCAGAGAAGAGAAGAGAAGGGAAGGGACCUGUGGCCACAUAGCAAGGCCAUGGCACAGCCGAAGUCUCCUCUGCUUUCCUCAUGCAGCCCCGUCCAACCCAUCUCUUUCAUCUCUUUUCUUAAAACUUAAAAAUAUUUUCAGGGGGGUGUGGUGGCUCAUGCCUAUAAUCCCAGCAAUUUGGGAGGAUGAGAUGGGAGGAUUGCUUGAGCCCGGGAGUUUGAGGCUGCAGUGAGCCACUGUAGUCCAGCCGGGGUGACACAGCCAGACUCCAUCUUUUUCUCUGUAUAUUUUUUCACCUCUACCUGAUGUGACUGAGUAACUGCUGGGGUACAUCACCUCUUUCAGGUGAUGGAAAUGUUCUAAAGUUGAUUAUGCUGAUGGUUGGUUGCCCAGCUGUGAAUGCAGUAAAAACAUUGAGCCGUACACUUUAAAUGGACAAGUUAUGUGUGAAUUAUAUCUCAAUAAAGCUCUGUGCCCCACCCAAAUCUCCUGUCAAACUGUGAUUCAUAGCGUUGGAAGUGGGGCCGGGUGGAAGGUGACUAGAUCAUGGGGGCGGAUCCUUCAUAAAUGAU